CGCGCCGCGUCUAUCGUUCCCGCGCCACCGUGUCGCUCAGUGCUAAAACAUAUACGAUACCACGCGCAACAUAUUGUGAAAGUGCUACUUAUAAAACGUGAUUUCUCAAGUGAGAGUAAUUUGUCGCGAACACAGCCGCGUUCCCAUAACUCAAGUGCAGGAGGAGGCUUGUCUCGUAAAUAAGUGCGAGGAGUGGGUUCAAUGGAAGCGAGGUUCGUGACCUGCCGGAGUUUCCAGCAGAUCAAGCCGCCCGAGAAGAGCCUGGCGCCGCAGCCGACGGUGAAGGGGCUGCUCAGCCGUUUCGGCAGUCAGGCUCAGGCGUUGUUCGCGCCGAAGAAGCCGCGCUUCGGCUCCUCGGUCGCCAUCCACAAACUACGCGAAACCAAGUGGUUUAAACACGAUGAACAGAACAUAUUGUGCGCUGUUCUCGAAUCAGGAUUCAUACUGGAGGUCCGGGCGGAAGACCCGCUGCCCCCGGACUCUGCCCUGUCCCCAGACUACCACAUGUAUGCGAUCGCCAUGUGGAAGAAGGGUAAAGAAAAAACAAAGAACCCGGAACAGAUAGAUGUAUUCACAGUACAACAAAAGGGUGUGAGAAAACGUGUUGUGAAAACAACACUCGGUGCAUUCUGGAAGAAAGACUCCGUGAUACGCAUCAACAACGUGGACGACAAACAGGAGACCCCCAACAUCGAGAAAGAUAUCAGAGCAAAGCUGGAUAUGGCAACUAAGUCCAGGUUCGAGAGAAACUGGCACAAUACCCUGCACUUCGUCCAUUGGUGCCGUUACGGGGAGACGCCGCAAGAGGCUCGCAUGAGACAGAUCAGCUUAACGACGUCGAAAACACCCAUGAUUAUCAUCUUUUGAUGGUAAUCGUUGAGGCGCUUUGGACACUUACUGCUGGCAACUGUAUUACCGAUAAGCGAGA
rnacentral:misc_RNA from 1 species